CAAGUCCCUAGAUUGGGAAAUAUAAAUCUCAUGGGAAGUCAGCCGAAGAACAUUUUAUGCAUCACUCAUCCUAUUAUGAGCCCUGUGCCCUUUCAUCUCUCUACAAGG
rnacentral:lncRNA from 1 species